rnacentral:rRNA from 1 species
CGCGUAGGCGGCUAUGCAAGUCAUAUGUGAAAGCCCACGGCUUAACCGUGGAAGUGCAUGUGAAACUGCAUGGCUUGAGUAUCGGAGGGGAAAGUGGAAUUCCCGGUGUAGAGGUGAAAUUCGUAGAGAUCGGGAGGAAUACCGGUGGCGAAGGCGACUUUCUGGACGAAUACUGACGCUGAGGCGCGAAAGCGUGGGGAGCAAACA